UUUAUUUUUUAUUAUUUUAUUUUAUUUUAUUUUAUUUUAUUUUAUUUUAUAGUUAACAGGGACAUUGUACAUUAAUAAAACAUUUCAGUAAAUGUACCAUAAUUAGCCAAAGGCUAUUUUUCAUCCGUAGUCCCUGAACAGAAGUCACCCUAAAAAAGAUAUGAUUAGAAUGCAUGCUUAUAGCACAAUCCAUAAAACAGUGUAUUAAUAAAAACAAAUAAGGUCAAUCAAAAACAACAUUUGUCUCAUUUUUAGUUUGACACCAAAGCCUGUUAGUAACUUUAUUCUUCUGAAUAAUUCAUUCCUGCAGCGGAAUCCGACCUCUGUGGAUCUGGCAACCAGCAAGAGAACCAAAGAAGAGCGAGACAGGCUGCUGCUUCAGGAGCAUCGUGAGCAGAGAGCGCGUGACGCCUGCGGUCUGAUCUCUGAGCUGCUCACCACAAACCCACAGCAGAGCCUCAGGGUCAGCACUCAGUCCUCCGGGAAAAAGAAGAGGAUUCCCAGGAGUCCGAGCGGACCACAGGCUUCUCUGGGGAAAACCGUCACGCUUCAGAGGAAAUCUGCAGCCAGAACCCUCGGCUCCUUGAGCGGCAGACUCGGCCUGCACAGACCAGCCAGCGCUCUCCCGUCUGAUCGGUUAUCCCAGGUUACUCGCCGCGGGAUGCUGUCCGACCCCAAGUCCAGACGAGACACCAAGACCGUUCAUCAGAAAAAACAGAGAGCAGUGACAGAGAACGAUCAGACGCACGAGAGACACGAUGAAGAGCAUCAGGACAUCAGACCGGUGAGAUACUCACGAACCUACCCGAAUAAACCUAGCUAGCUGCUAGUUUACAACAAGUUCGUUUUUACCUAACCAGAACGAUACAAAAUCUGUUACUUUUUCCCCACUUGCUGCAGUAUAUUAACACAAAACUUUAAAAAUUAGAAGAGGCUAUGAGGACAAAAAUGACCUCCAUUAGAAAUUAAAGGGAAAUAUAUAUAUAUAAAGAAGGAAAAUAUAGAGCAACUUUUUGGAUAAAAAUAAAUACUCUUUAUAAAAAAAGGGAAAUAUAGAG
ensembl:lncRNA